AGCUGAUGAUGAUUCUAUACUUGAUGUUACUGACCAGAUUGUAUCUGAGUAUAAUCGCCUGCUUCCUGAGUCU
rnacentral:snoRNA from 14 species